GGUCGUUAUUCGGCUCCAUAAUUGAAAACGCUGGCAAUGAUAUCAGCAGCACUAUGAACAGAGGGCAAUUUUAUGAAGGAUGGAAUAAAUUAUUACAGAAAUUAUAAACUUUUCCUUGGAUCUAUUUGCAUAUUACGGCAUAGGUGAGUGCCGUAUGGAUUGGAAGAAGAAAAACUUACUUACAAUGCCCGUGGAGGUUCCUGGGCAUUUCCCACAGUAAUUGCACAGCGGACCGCAUAGACCGGUGACACCUAUACCUACAACGUAUCCAUCAGAUCCGAGAAGAGCGAAGUGAGCGACAGCACUGUUCUCACACACUACAGGUGGAGAGUCACAUAAUCGGAGAGUCGGAUGAUGUCAGACGCCGAGAAGCAGUUGUGAGUAGUGGAAGCAGAGCGGUGGUUAUCGGUGUAUUGGAUCCGAUAAGCCAUUGGGGUGAGCCGCAGCAGAGUUUGGUGCUGUUGAGUUAUAAACUCGCCAAAGGGGAUUCCUAAGGAUACGGGACAAGUUUGAGGACAGCACCGGGAAGGAGGACAGAGUGUGUCA